rnacentral:rRNA from 1 species
UGGGGGAAUAUUGGGCAAUGGGCGAAAGCCUGACCCAGCGACGCCGCGUGAGGGAAGAAGGUCUUCGGAUUGUAAACCUCUUUCAGCAGGGAAGAAGUAAGUGACGGUACCUGCAGAAGAAGUCACGGCUAACUACGUGCCAGCAGCCGCGGUAAUACGUAGGUGGCGAGCGUUAUCCGGAAUUACUGGGUGUAAAGGGUGUGUAGGCGGGAGAGCAAGUCAGAUGUGAAAAUUGUGGGCUCAACUCACAACCUGCAUUUGAAACUGUUUUUCUUGAGAGUGGGAGAGGUAAAUGGAAUUCCUGGUGUAGUAGUGAAAUGCGUAGAUAUCAGGAGGAACACCGGUGGCGAAGGCAUCUCACGAAUCCGCGAUUGACGCUGAGGCACGAAAGUGCGGGGAGCAAACAGGAUUAGAUACCCUGGUAGU